rnacentral:rRNA from 1 species
GACGAACGCUGGCGGCGUGCUUAACACAUGCAAGUCGAACGGUGAAGCGCCUUCCUUUUUGGUGGGUGUGGAUGAGUGGCGAACGGGUGAGUAACACGUGAGUAACCUGCCCCCUUCUUCUGGAUAACCGCAUGAAAGUGUGGCUAAUACGGGAUAUUCUGGGUCUGUCGCAUGAUGGGUCUGGGAAAGAUAUUGUUUCGGUGGUGGAUGGGCUCGCGGCCUAUCAGCUUGUUGGUGGGGUGAUGGCCUACCAAGGCGGUGACGGGUAGCCGGCCUGAGAGGGUGGACGGCCACACUGGGACUGAGACACGGCCCAGACUCCUACGGGAGGCAGCAGUGGGGAAUAUUGCACAAUGGGCGCAAGCCUGAUGCAGCGACGCCGCGUGAGGGAUGGAGGCCUUCGGGUUGUGAACCUCUUUCGCCAGUGAAGCAGGCCUGCCUCGUUUGUGGGUGGGUUGACGGUAGCUGGAUAAGAAGCGCCGGCUAACUACGUG